GCGGCCUAUCAGCUUGUUGGUGAGGUAAUGGCUCACCAAGGCGACGACGGGUAGCCGGCCUGAGAGGGUGACCGGCCACACUGGAACUGAGACACGGUCCAGACUCCUACGGGAGGCAGCAGUGGGGAAUAUUGCACAAUGGGCGAAAGCCUGAUGCAGCAACGCCGCGUGAGGGAUGAAGGCCUUCGGGUUGUAAACCUCUUUUAGCAGGGAAGAAGCGAAAGUGACGGUACCUGCAGAAAAAGCACCGGCUAACUACGUGCCAGCAGCCGCGGUAAUACGUAGGGUGCAAGCGUUGUCCGGAAUUAUUGGGCGUAAAGAGCUCGUAGGCGGUUUGUCGCGUCUGCUGUGAAAAUCCGAGGCUCAACCUCGGACCUGCAGUGGGUACGGGCAGACUAGAGUGCGGUAGGGGAGACUGGAAUUCCU
rnacentral:rRNA from 1 species